rnacentral:rRNA from 1 species
UACGAAGGGGGCUAGCGUUGCUCGGAAUUACUGGGCGUAAAGCGCACGUAGGCGGCUUUCUAAGUCGGGGGUGAAAUCCUGGAGCUCAACUCCAGAACUGCCUUCGAUACUGGAGAGCUCGAGUCCGGGAGAGGUGAGUGGAACUGCGAGUGUAGAGGUGAAAUUCGUAGAUAUUCGCAAGAACACCAGUGGCGAAGGCGACUUCUUGGACAGAAACUGACGCUGAGGCGCGAAAGCUAGGGGAGCAAACAGG